AGUGAACGCUGGCGGUAGGCCUAACACAUGCAAGUCGAACGGCAGCACAGUAAGAGCUUGCUCUUACGGGUGGCGAGUGGCGGACGGGUGAGGAAUACAUCGGAAUCUACUUUUUCGUGGGGGAUAACGUAGGAAACUUACGCCAAUAACCCAUAAGACCUAAGGGUGAAAGGAGGGGAUCUUCGGACCUUUCGCGAGUUCAUGAGGCGCUUUCGGAGUAGCUGGUUGGUGGGGUAAACGCCCACCAAGGCGGCGGUCCGUAGCUGGUCUGAGAGGAUGAUCCGCCACACUGGAACUGCGACACGGUCCAGACUCCUACGGGAGGCAGCAGUGGGGAAUAUUAGACAAUGGGCGCAAGCCUGAUCCAGCCGUACCGCGUGGGUGAAGAAGGCCUUCGGGUUGUAAAGCCCUUUUGUUGGGAAAGAAAAGCAGCAGGUUAAUACCCCGCUGUUCUGACGGUACCCAAAGAAUAAGCACCGGCUAACUUCGUG
rnacentral:rRNA from 1 species